GUUCCACCCGCGGUGCCAGCGCCCCCGCUCGUACCGCUCCCCUCUCGGGCCCGAGGGCGGCCGUGCCCGCCUCUGUCGCCAAUGGAGCGCUGGCCUGGGGCGGGGCGGUGGGCGGAGGGGCUCGCCGACACCUCACGACGAGUCCUCCAGGGAGAGGCGACGCGGCCCUCACCGCCUCUUACCGUGGGAGACGGAGGCGCGGGGCGGGCAGGCGCCGGCGGAGGCCACGCGGCGCGCAGGUGGCGGGCGGGCUGCAGAAAGGGGAGGGGGGCCGGGGUCUCACGUAGAGAGGGGCCUGGCUGCCGCGGUUAGACGCCCAUGGCAACUCCGUGAGGGGCCCUUCUCGCCAGCCCCGUCUCAAGACGGCGAAGAGGCCCGGCUCCGUCGCGACAACCCACCCGGACUCUGCCGCCCCCGCCACUAACACCCGUGGGGCCCGCAGUACGCGCGGAGGGGGCCCGUCGCCGGAAGUGCGGCCGCGUCCCUUCCUGCGGUCCGCUGCUCGGGCGGCUCCAGCACCAGCGCCGGCUGCGUUCCGGGCCUCCGGUCGCCCGUCCAGCCCCUCGGCUACCGCCGCCGCCUCCCCCGCUCGGCGCCAUGGCCGCUGCGGCCGGGGACGGCACGGUGAAGCCGCUGCAGAGCGCCAUGAAGCUUGCCAACGGGGCCAUCGAGCUGGACACCGGCAACCGGCCCCGGGCAUACACGGAAUACCUGAGGAGCAUCCACUAUAUCUCCCAGGUGUUACUAGAAGAAGUGGAAACCACUAAAGGUACGGCUCAGCCAGCCGGGCGCGGUGGCUCACGCCUGUAAUCCCAGCACUGUGGGAGGCAGAGGCGGGCUAUCACCUGAGGUCAGGAGAUCGAAACCAUCCUGGCUAACAUGGUGAAACCCCGUCUCUACUAAAAAUCUAAAAAAUCAGCUGGGCCUGGUGGCGGGUGUCUGUAGUCCCAGCUACUCGGGAGGCUGAGGCAGGAGAAUUGCUUGAACCCGGGAGCAGAGGUUGCAGUGAGCCGAGAUCACCCCAUUGUACUCCAGCCUGGAACAAGAGCGAAACUCCGUC
rnacentral:lncRNA from 1 species